rnacentral:piRNA from 1 species
UAGGGCAUAAUCCAUUGGUGUUUUGUUCAG